rnacentral:rRNA from 1 species
UACGAAGGGGGCUAGCGUUGCUCGGAAUUACUGGGCGUAAAGCGCACGUAGGCGGCUUGUUAAGUCGGAGGUGAAAUCCUGGAGCUCAACUCCAGAACUGCCUUCGAUACUGGCGAGCUCGAGUCCGGGAGAGGUGAGUGGAACUGCGAGUGUAGAGGUGAAAUUCGUAGAUAUUCGCAAGAACACCAGUGGCGAGGGCGGCUCACUGGCCCGGUACUGACGCUGAGGUGCGAAAGCGUGGGGAGCAAACAGG